AUUGAACGCUGGCGGCAGGCUUAACACAUGCAAGUCGAGCGGGGUGAUGGUGCUCGCACUAUCACUUAGCGGCGGACGGGUGAGUAAUGCUUAGGAAUCUGCCUAUUAGUGGGGGACAACAUCUCGAAAGGGAUGCUAAUACCGCAUACGUCCUACGGGAGAAAGCAGGGGGUCACUUGUGACCUUGCGCUAAUAGAUGAGCCUAAGUCGGAUUAGCUAGUUGGUGGGGUAAGGCCUACCAAGGCGACGAUCUGUAGCGGGUCUGAGAGGAUGAUCCGCCACACUGGGACUGAGACACGGCCCAGACUCCUACGGGAGGCAGCAGUGGGGAAUAUUGGACAAUGGGGGGAACCCUGAUCCAGCCAUGCCGCGUGUGUGAAGAAGGCCUUAUGGUUGUAAGGCACUUUAAGCGAGGAGGAGGCUCUUUUGGUUAAUACCCAAGAUGAGUGGACGUUACUCGCAGAAUAAGCACCGGCUAACUCUGUGCCAGCCGCCGCAGUAA
rnacentral:rRNA from 1 species